rnacentral:rRNA from 1 species
GAUGAACGCUGGCGGCGUGCCUAAUACAUGCAAGUCGAGCGAACGGACGAGAAGCUUGCUUCUCUGAUGUUAGCGGCGGACGGGUGAGUAACACGUGGAUAACAUACCUAUAAGACUGGGAUAACUUCGGGAAACCGGAGCUAAUACCGGAUAAUAUUUUGAACCGCAUGGUUCAAAAGUGAAAGACGGUUUUGCUGUCACUUAUAGAUGGAUCCGCGCUGCAUUAGCUAGUUGGUAAGGUAACGGCUUACCAAGGCAACGAUGCAUAGCCGACCUGAGAGGGUGGUCGGCCACACUGGAACUGAGGCACGGUCCAGACUCCUACGGGAGGCAGCAGUAGGGAAGCUUCCGCAAUGGGCGGAAGCCUGACGGAGCAACGCCGCGUGAGUGAUGAAGGUCUUCGGAUCGUAGAACUCUGUUAUUAGGGAAGAACAAAUGUGUAAGUAACUGUGCACAUCUUGACGGUACCUAAUCAGAAAGCCACGGCUAACUACGUG